UAAAUUGUAGUGCCAUAAAGAAUAACAGCAUUCAAAUUUCAAUACACAACUUCUUAAGUGUGGCAGCGAUGAAGGUAUACAUAUUAUUGUUAGUUGCAAUUGUUGCAAUUAUCAUGAGCUCCAGUAGUAUGGCUGAACCUACAGGCGAUAAACCUGAGCAGGCUAAGAAAAUGGAUGAAGCAAUCAGUUGGGCCACGUCAAUAUAUGAGGGCUAACUGCAUCAUAAUUAAAUAAUAACAGAAUUUAUGUCACACUAUAUUCAACAAGUUUCUCAGCUAAUAAGCAUUUUGUAGUAAUAUUAUUUGCUAUGUGAAAAAAUUAAUAUAAUUUUCAAAAACCUUUAAA